ensembl:lncRNA
GAUUUAACAGAGUAUAUUUAUGAGAAUAACAGUACUGACAUGCAAAACAUGUUCUAUUCUUUCUGAGGAAAUAUAGAACAUUAUUUCAGUAGGUACAUCAUGAAAUAUACAAGCAGCAUUACUGAUAGCCUAGCAAACUGAGCCACCAGGGAAGCCCUCUAGCAAAAUUAUUAAAAUGGAAAAUAACUCUGGCUUUAGUCAUUUUUCUUAGAAAAUAGAUGCUUCACUUUUUUUUUUAAUGAGAUAUCUUGACAAGGGGGGAAAAGCCCAUUUUACUGCCAAAAUGAAUCGUGUCACUCAGUCACAUAACACCUUUCCUGCUGCUGCUGCUGCUGCUGCUGCUAAGUCGCUUCAGUCGUGUCCGACUCUGUGCGACCCCAUACACGGCCUCCCACCAGGCUCCCCCGUCCCUGGGAUUCUCCAGGCGAGAACACUGGAGUGGGUUGCCAUUUCCUUCUCCAAUGCAUGAAAGUGAAAAGUGAAAAUGAAGUCGCUCAGUCGUGUCCGACUCUUAGCGACGUCAUGGACUGCAGCCCACCAGGCUCCUCCAUCCAUGGGAUUGUCCAGGCAAGAGUACUGGGGUGGGGUGCCACCGCCUUCUCCGACACCUCUCCUACGUACACACAAACACAAUCUUCAGACACCUUUCUUUGAUUUCAAAAUGGAGGGGGGCGGGGCAGGCAGUUCUUCAGUUGUCUUUAGAGCUUCAAUUAAGGCAUCACGAUAUAGUGCAGUAAUUCUCGAAAAUUCAGCAGACGUUAGGACUAAUGGAAGAUUUGUUCCAAUGUAGAGAGCUGAACUUCAUCCCUAGAAUUUCUGCUGCUGUAAGUCUGAGUGGGGCUUGACUUUGAACAGUCUGCAGGCAAUACUAAUACUGCGGGUCAAACGCCCCGCCCCCGCCCCAAGCUUCACGGGCUUUGUUGAUAUCAGGUGCACCUGGCGUUGUUGAAAAAGAGCAGGCGCAAGACUCUGUUGCCCAUUUAAGAUGAUUAACACCCUGCGAACCUCACGCGAGACCUGAGUUCCUAGGUUGAAACCCCAAGCUCUUUCCCACUUGCUUGUGAGCAGACUAUCCAUCUCGGGAGUUACUGGAUGAAGGAUGUGCAGGUAGCCCUUUUAUUCAUCUUUGCCUUGAAAGUCUGUUCUCCAAUAAGAAAAUGUGUUUACCCUGCCUUCCAGUCUGGAGUAUUGAAAGAUCCUGGUCUUUGAAGCCUUCCUCCAGCACUUACCUGCUGUGUUAACUUGAAGCAAUUCCUUAACUUCUCUGAACUUCAGUUCUCAUUACGGAUGUAACAGUUUCUGCCUCACACGGUGGAUUCUUUACCAGCUGAGCCACAAGGGAAGCCCAAGAAUACUAGAGUGGGUAGCCUAUCCCUUCUCCAGAGGAUCUUCCUGACCCAGGAAUCAAACUGGGAUCUCCUACAUUGUAGAAAAAAACAAGCAGUUAUGUGUACAAGGCACUGUGAUGUCUCAGAUGAUUUGUAAGAACUGGCUGAAGAAGCUGGUGUCCAAGGCUGUGGACACAGGAAGGAGUAAGAGCCAAGUAUUGCUGGCAGCCUCAAGAAGCUAGAAAAGGCAAGACCAUGGAUUCCCCCCAGAGUUUCCAGAAAGGAAAACAGCCCUGCUGACUCUUUGAUUUUAGCCCUGUGAGAACUGUGUCAGCUUUCCAACCUUCAUAAUUGUAAUAUAAUAAAUGUAUGCUGUUUAAUAAAUGUAAGAUAAUAAAUGUGUGCUGUUUUAAAGCCACUGGAUUUGUUGUAUUUGUUAUACCAGCUCUAGAAAACUCAUGAACUGACAGAAAACUAAUAUAAGAUGUAAAGAUCCUAAUGAAGGGCCAGGUGCACAAAGAAUUAUCAGUAAAACAAAUACAUGUUAGUCAUACAGAGUAGACAGGGAAAAGAAAGACUGAAUACUCUAAAAUUUUCAUAUGUAGCAAUUUUGUCCAGGGUUGACCCUGUGUAUGUCAUCAACAGCCUGUUCUGAAAAUCACAAUGAGAUUCACAAAGUUGGUUUUAGAACCUAAAGGGAUUCUUUCUCUUCUUUGUUUGAACCAGGGUUGUCAUGUCUAAGUAUAUCCCCAAUAGUCAUUCUGUCUGAAAGCACUUAAAAUACUGUGUUAUUCCAAAAUAUGUGUAUGUACAUUUAUAUAUUAUAUAUAUAUAUUUAUGUACACUAAUAUAAAUGUCUGGAGCUGAUGUGGCUCAGAUGGUAAAACAU